rnacentral:rRNA from 1 species
AGAGGUCACUGCUAUCAGUGUUCGACUAAGCCAUGCGAGUCAAAUGUUCUUCGUGAACAUGGCGUACUGCUCAGUAACACGUGGACAACCUGCCCUAAGGUCUGGCAUAACUCCGGGAAACUGGGGAUAAUUCCAGAUGAACCAUAGAUACUGGAAUGUGCUGUGGUUAAAAGCUCCGGCGCCUUAGGAUGGAUCUGCGGCCUAUCAGGUAGUAGUGGGUGUAAUGUACCUACUAGCCUACGACGGGUACGGGUUGUGAGAGCAAGAGCCCGGAGAUGGAUUCUGAGACAUGAAUCCAGGCCCUACGGGGCGCAGCAGGCGCGAAAACUUUACAAUGCGGGAAACCGCGAUAAGGGGACACUGAGUGCCAGCACCAUGUGUUGGCUGUCCGCAUGUAUAAAUCACAUGUGUCAGCAAGGGCCGGGCAAGACCGGUGCCAGCCGCCGCGGUAACACCGGCGGCCCGAGUGGUGGCCAUUAUUAUUGGGUCUAAAGGGUCCGUAGCCGGUUUGAUCAGUCUUCCGGGAAAUCUGACAGCUCAACUAUUAGGCUUUCGGGGGAUACUGCCAGACUUGGAACCGGGAGAGGUAAGAGGUACUACAGGGGUAGGAGUGAAAUCUUGUAAUCCCUGUGGGACCACCUGUGGCGAAGGCGUCUUACCAGAACGGGUUCGACGGUGAGGGACGAAAGCUGGGGGCACGAACCGGAUUAGAUACCCGGGUAGUCCCAGCCGUAAACGAUGCUCGCUAGGUGUCAGGCAUGGCGCGACCGUGUCUGGUGCCGCAGGGAAGCCGUGAAGCGAGCCACCUGGGAAGUACGGCCGCAAGGCUGAAACUUAAAGGAAUUGGCGGGGGAGCACAACAACGGGUGGAGCCUGCGGUUU